rnacentral:misc_RNA from 1 species
AACCUUAUGGACCUGCGGGCGUAUACCUGCGGAGGGAUCAUCAUUGAAUCUAUAAAAUUUAUAUUUACACCCUUGUGAAUUUGGGGACGGUUGUUGACGGCUUUGCAAAUUUUUGUUUGGCUGUCGGGCUGGCCCCGAGUAUAUUUGCGUACUUGGCGUUGGUGGUAUCAGUGAAUUGCGUUGAUCAAGUUUUGACCAACGCUGCUGACCGCCGGCUUCAAGCGCCUGUUAAAUAAACAC